rnacentral:rRNA from 1 species
UUGAACGCUGGCGGCAGGCCUAACACAUGCACGUCGAGCGGUAGAGAGAAGCUUGCUUCUCUUGAGAGCGGCGGACGGGUGAGUAAUGCCUAGGAAUCUGCCUGGUAGUGGGGGAUAACGUUCGGAAACGGACGCUAAUACCGCAUACGUCCUACGGGAGAAAGCAGGGGACCUUCGGGCCUUGCGCUAUCAGAUGAGCCUAGGUCGGAUUAGCUAGUUGGUGGGGUAAUGGCUCACCAAGGCGACGAUCCGUAACUGGUCUGAGAGGAUGAUCAGUCACACUGGAACUGAGACACGGUCCAGACUCCUACGGGAGGCAGCAGUGGGGAAUAUUGGACAAUGGGCGAAAGCCUGAUCCAGCCAUGCCGCGUGUGUGAAGAAGGUCUUCGGAUUGUAAAGCACUUUAAGUUGGGAGGAAGGGCAGUUGCCUAAUACGUAACUGUUUUGACGUUACCGACAGAAUAAGCACCGGCUAACUCUGUG